rnacentral:tRNA from 2 species
GCCCCCGUAGCUCAGUAGGAUAGAGCGCCGGUUUCCUAAACCGUAGGUCGCACGUUCGAAUCGUGUCGGGGGCA